AAUAGAUACCCUGGUAGUCCACGCCGUAAACGAUGAGUGCUAAGUGUUAGAGGGUUUCCGCCCUUUAGUGCUGCAGCUAACGCAUUAAGCACUCCGCCUGGGGAGUACGGCCGCAAGGCUGAAACUCAAAGGAAUUGACGGGGGCCCGCACAAGCGGUGGAGCAUGUGGUUUAAUUCGAAGCAACGCGAAGAACCUUACCAGGUCUUGACAUCCUCUGCCAACCCUAGAGAUAGGGCGUUCCCCUUCGGGGGACAGAGUGACAGGUGGUGCAUGGUUGUCGUCAGCUCGUGUCGUGAGAUGUUGGGUUAAGUCCCGCAACGAGCGCAACCCUUGAUCUUAGUUGCCAGCAUUCAGUCGGGCACUCUAAGGUGACUGCCGGUGACAAACCGGAGGAAGGUGGGGAUGACGUCAAAUCAUCAUGCCCCUUAUGACCUGGGCUACACACGUGCUACAAUGGAUGGUACAAAGAGCUGCGAACCCGCGAGGGUAAGCGAAUCUCAUAAAGCCAUUCUCAGUUCGGAUUGUAGG
rnacentral:rRNA from 1 species